rnacentral:rRNA from 1 species
CAGUCGCCGCGGUAAUACGUAGGUGGCAAGCGUUGUCCGGAUUUAUUGGGCGUAAAGCGAGCGCAGGCGGUCAAUUAAGUCUGAUGUGAAAGCCCCCGGCUCAACCGGGGAGGGUCAUUGGAAACUGGUUGACUUGAGUGCAGAAGAGGAGAGUGGAAUUCCAUGUGUAGCGGUGAAAUGCGUGGAUAUAUGGAGGAACACCUGUGGCGAAGGCGACUCUCUGGUCUGUAACUGACGCUGAGGCUCGAAAGCGUGGGUAGCAAACAGGAUUAGAUACCCCUGUAGUCCCUGUCUCUUAUAC